UCUAAGCAAAGCGUGAAGCAAGGGUGUCCUUUAUCUACGGAGCUGUUUGGACUCUUCAUUGAGACACUAGCUGAUCUGAUUGAUACUCAUGACCUUGUAGAAGCUGGAGUGCGUAAUUAUAAGCAAGACGCACCCCUUGGGGACCCCUACCAACUCAUAGGGGGUCUAACAGCGGCUAACAGGCGUGCCUGUUAGGGAAUGUUAGCCUAACAGAUUCUCUAACAGUGAUGGGGCUGUCAGACGAUGUUUGGGCUGGCGGCAGGUGGAUCUGGCUGUUAACAAGCAUGUUGAAGAAGUAGAACAGGAAUUGGUGCUGUUAGCCGUUGUUAAGGCUUGUCAGAUGUUUUCAGACUGUAUUUUAGCUCUGUCUCACGUUGUUGAUGGAUAAUGUCGUUUAGAACAAACAUUCUUGAACGGUUUGUAACGAAAUGUCCUGCCUUUUGCCUAAUAUUUGGCAAACCAUACGUUUCAAGCAAUAUCAUCAAUCAUGCAUAUUACCUCGCUUAUUAGCAAGGCACUAAUUGACUGGAUGAAAAUCCAGGCUGCUGUUCCAAAAGCACUACUGCUGCAGUGAAUUUAGGCAUGAAACGAAUGGCACUACUUACAUGGCGUAAGGUAUCCAUGUGCUUCACAGUUUAGCAUACGAAGCACUACUGCAUUUGAAAAGCAGUUCAACGCCAAUACCUACUUACAGCCACCAGCAGGCCCACAAGGUUGAAUUAUCUGCAUCCUCUCUCUCGUUACUGAAACACAACGUGCUGCACCUAAAGUAGGCCCUGAGCUUAAGAUAGAAGAAAACAUGUUAAUGUUCAAAUUCAAGAUCCUCCCUUCAUAUCCAGUGACCUGCUCCACCACAUACAACCCGACGUAUUGCAUGCAAACCCAACCUUCAUGCCUGCUGCAUACACAA
rnacentral:lncRNA from 1 species